AACGAACGCUGGCGGCAUGCCUAACACAUGCAAGUCGAACGAGACCUUCGGGUCUAGUGGCGCACGGGUGCGUAACGCGUGGGAACCUGCCCUUAGGUUCGGAAUAACUCCCCGAAAGGGGUGCUAAUACCGGAUAAUGUCUUCGGACCAAAGAUUUAUCGCCUUUGGAUGGGCCCGCGUUGGAUUAGCUAGUUGGUAGGGUAAAAGCCUACCAAGGCGACGAUCCAUAGCUGGUCUGAGAGGAUGAUCAGCCACACUGGGACUGAGACACGGCCCAGACUCCUACGGGAGGAAGCAGUGGGGAAUAUUGGACAAUGGGCGAAAGCCUGAUCCAGCAAUGCCGGGUGAGUGAUGAAGGCCUUAGGGUUGUAAAGCUCUUUUACCCGGGAUGAUAAUGACAGUACCGGGAGAAUAAGCUCCGGCUAACUCCGUG
rnacentral:rRNA from 1 species